ACUUACUUCAAUUACAUCCCAAAGAUUAUCAAAACCAAACUUUUUUAAAAAAAUUAUAAAUUCCUAAUUUAGUGGAGAAACUCUCAUGAAUAAUUGCAUCUCUGAUAUUAGUUUCCACCUCCAACUUUCCAAAAGUGUGCUCCAGAGUUAUUGACUAUUCUUUAUUUUAUCUUCUCCAUAAUCGGAAACUAAAAACACACUACAUAUAAAUUCAACAAAACCAAAAACCUCAAAUAAAAACCAAGCCAAGUAACAAGGAAAAAAGAAAGUGACAAAAGAAAAAAAGGAGAGAAAUAAUAUCAUUCACAAUAGUGCAAUCUACCAAAUUUCAUCAAGCAAAUAUCAGCAAAAAAAACGGAACUGACAAAAGAAGGAGAGAAAUAAUAUCGUUCAUAAUCAGUGCAAUCUACCAAGUUUCAUCAAGCAAAUAUCAACAAAAAAAGGCACUUGCAAGGUGAAUCAAGAAACAAGUUAAAAAGAUGCAAUGGGCUUAGUUAUAUAUGUUUCACCAAUGGAAUUAGUUGGAGGAAAUUCGUUUAAAAGAGAUUUGGCGAUAAUGGAUAAAACUUGGACGAUUAUAAAGUUAACCAUUUGGAAUGAAUUUGUGCACAUACUUGAAGAUUGAAAUCUUAACACCGAAGCUGAUUUUUGUCCAAUUCUUUUUGCGUGUGGUCUGCAUGUAAAGAGCUUUUGUGGCCGAAAAUAUCUUACAACAGGAUUUUACUCCAGGAUUUAUGUUAACAAAGUAGAUGACUUAACUACUUCCUUAUCAACAUGGUAUGAAUCUGAUAAAUUAGCGAAAAAAAGGGUUGCAUGUUUUCGAUUCAAGUCCUUUCUCCUUACAAUCAUCCAUUGAUAUUUCAAAUGCUCCUCGGAUUCGAUUACCUACCUUCCAUGCAGUGAGAAAAGUACACUAUUGUCGAUUUAUUGCCAAUGCGUGUCAUCUUGACCAUGUUGACAAUAUCAUAUAUGAAGCAUGUCAUCGUUGCCUCAAAAAGGUUAACAUUUUCCAAGGAGAUCCCACAUGUGAGUCUUGCGAUAUUACAAAUGUUGUAACCACUCCAAGGUAUAAUUUUCGAUCUCAUAUGAUCACGAUCAUCAAGCAACCAUUAUUUAUUUAACCUGAUAAACUUUUAUCUUAUUCUAUUAACUGUUUGUUAGUUGGACUAACAAUAUGUGAUAGAAGCGGUACUUUCAAAAUAACAAUGCUUCAUGAUCUUGCACAACUCAUUUUGGGAAGCCCAACUACGGACAUAAAAUUAAUACUUCAACAGCCAAAUGGACGCAAACGAGUCAUGGAGAUAUUAUUCUCAAAACUUGGAUACAAAACCUUCGCUUGGAUCUUACCUCCACCAAUGCAAGAAUUGGAUCCGGAUCAUUCUUAUACAGUUAGCUAUAUGCUGUAGGUUGAAUGGGAUGAAGAGUGCAUGGGGUUAACCAAGUUCUAUGAAGGCAUUUUCCAUAGUUGAAACACCAGAGAUUUCAUUUACUAUCUUUGUUAUUAUAUUGUUACAUUGUGAAUAUUUUUUUCCUCGGUAAAUUUUGUAAAUAAUUUUUCUAUGAAUUAGUAUUAUAUGUAAUUACACAACUAAUUUGAUUCAAAUAACGAUUUCAGUCGCAUAUACAUAAACGACUAAUUA